rnacentral:rRNA from 1 species
GAUGAACGCUGGCGGCGUGCUUAACACAUGCAAGUCGAACGAUGAAGCCCAGCUUGCUGGGUGGAUUAGUGGCGAACGGGUGAGUAACACGUGAGUAACCUGCCCUUAACUCUGGGAUAAGCCUGGGAAACUGGGUCUAAUACCGGAUAGGAGCGCCUACCGCAUGGUGGGUGUUGGAAAGAUUUAUCGGUUUUGGAUGGACUCGCGGCCUAUCAGCUUGUUGGUGAGGUAAUGGCUCACCAAGGCGACGACGGGUAGCCGGCCUGAGAGGGUGACCGGCCACACUGGGACUGAGACACGGCCCAGACUCCUACGGGAGGCAGCAGUGGGGAAUAUUGCAUAAUGGGCGAAAGCCUGAUGCAGCGACGCCGCGUGAGGGAUGACGGCCUUCGGGUUGUAAACCUCUUUCAGUAGGGAAGAAGCGAAAGUGACGGUACCUGCAGAAGAAGCACCGGCUAACUACGUG